UCAGGCUGCUCCCGGCCAGCAGCUCGGUGCACCUCAGGGAGAGCAAGGUGAGGGUGCACGCCUACUUCCACUAUGACCCCAAGGAGGACAACAAGCACAUUCCCUGCAAGAAAGCCAGGCUGCCCUUCAACAAGCUGGACAUCCUGCACAUUGUGACCCAGGAUGACCCCUACUGACAGUGUUUGACCGUGUGGACGGACCCUGACGGUUGCUGUGAUGUGCAGGUGACGGCUUGGUGACGCAGGGCAUGGAGGACACAGCGCUGCAGUGGCUCAGCGAACGCCUCGGCCACCCAGACAACUUCACUUCUGUGAUAUUCCUGCCCAGACCAAGGCCUGGAGCACCGCUUCACGAGGAAGUAAAUCUUCAUUCCCGACGAGACGAGCGGCGAGGCGGCACCGCGGCUCCUCCGACACCCGCGUCAUGCCCUUCAGCUUCCAGCAGCAGACGAGCGGCUGAACAGACACUCCCUGGGAUGUCUGAACGACAGCCAGGCUGGACUGAAUGAUCCAGCAGUUGCUGCAGGUGUGGCCAGGUGUUGCAACCCUCCAAUAAGCACCUGUACCAAUCUGGAUAGAGAUGUGUAGUUCACAGUGUAAGGACAAUCCAGUUGUCAGUCAAACAUCUGGCACUGUUGCCCAAAAGAGCUGACAAACUCCGAGCCAAGUUUUUUUUUUCUUUACACUCUGACCUAUAGCGUUGGUAGGCUUUCUUCUGGGCCCUGGUGGUCGACCCAAGCCCGUCAUGGCGCAGGCAAGUGUUUAUAGCAGCACCAUUUCUUCUUGGCUCAUGCUGCCCGCCGGAGCUCAUUCUUGAUUCACUUGGACAGUUCCUCUAGAGUUGGGGUUGAUAGGUGAUCUUCAGGACAGCACGUGGGUAGCCUUAUGCCACUUGGCAAUGACUGAAAAAUCCCAGGUGGUAGCAGAGAAUUUGAACCCACAUUGUCCAGAACUUGGUGAACGCAGGACCUGCACACUAACCAUUCAGCCACUGCCUCUCUGUUCCAACAUGAGUGAAAAAUGAGAGGCCAGAAGAGAGUGGUUGAUUUCAAAUGGAGAAGUGUCUUGAUAGGCUGGAGGAAAUAGAUGAAGGAAGGCUGCUCUGGAGUUAACCUGCAUAAGGAAUUAGGAUAGUAUAGAGACGAGUAGAACGUUAUGUAAAAAGGGACCACAGUAGAGGUGGAGGCAUGUAGUUAGCAAGCAUAGAAGGGCAAUCAUCAUGAAAAUGUCUGUAGAAGACAGAGGGGCAACAUUGCAGCAGAGUUUGCUAUAGAAGAAGAGAGUUUAGGUUUGACUCCAUCGAGUUAAAAACAGCUAUGUGAGUGAAGCCCCUCCUAUAUGAAAUGCGCUCUCCAUACGAGGACAGACAAGGCCCCUGGAUAUCAUUUGUGAGGGGUAAAAAACUGAAAGACUAAUACAGAACACACAACUUCAAAGAAGCUGAUUUAGGAAGAGGUGAGAUGAAAUUAUGAGUUGAGGAUAGACCAAAUAUGUUUAUUGUUUAAAUGGACAGCUGAGUGUUGUCAUAGAAUAGGGAACAGAUGUUCGGAAUUCUAUCCCUCUGUUUUUAUAUCGUGUUUCCUUUCAAGCUGGUCUAUCUAUGGUGUGGUAAUCCUGCCACUGUCUUCCCCUAAACCUCUCAGCACCUGUAUUCUGUACGACUAUUUUAUUUCCCUCUCUGAGGAAAAAGUCAAUUUCUCUGCCUAUCAACUGAACAAAUUCCAUCGUCUAUUCCCUAGUCUUCGACCACACUCAGCGGUCCCCUUCCUCUACACUAAAUAUUCUCUGUCUAUCCUUAACUCAAAACAUUAACUGAAAACUUAUUUCCUCUCUUGCUAAAUCAGAUUCUUCGAGGUUAUGCAUUUGUAUCGUUUUCACCAGUUCUAUUCCCCCUCACACAUGCUGUCCACAUACAAGGGUCUUUUCUGUCCUCAUAUGGAGUAUGACAGAAGUCUUAGACAAAUGGUGGAAAAUUCUGUCGGAUCAAGGUCAUGGGCACGAGAGGAAGUGACAUCUUGGCAUACAUAGAUGCAGCAUCCAGCUUGGAUUGAAAGCUGGGAUGAAGAUAGCAAGAGACACAUCACGGCAGCCACUAAUGGACUGGAGUUGUCCAAGAAACCCCCCAAGAAAGCCUACCAUCACUAUUGACGAUUACUGUCAGUAGCCCCAGAGACCCGUGUUUCAGUUAAGAAGAAGAGGUAAAGGAAGAGGAGGUAAAAGAGGAGAAAUGAUGUUCUACAUACAGGAUGGAAGCUGAAGCAAAGAUCGUGAAUGUUGCAAAAUUUGGAAAAAAGGAGAGUUAUCAGGACAGCUGUGUACUAUAGGUUUGUUAUGUCACUGCACAAUGCAUUCAAUAAGCUGUAACUUAAAAUAAUUCGUAUCUUUUGAAACUAGAUGCUUAUAAUAUUUCUACAGAGGCUGCCUGAGUUAUUACUUAGUACAAUUUUGAAGACCUAUAAACAUUUCCAGCUGUUCUUUACUGCAUAUUAAUCAUGAUUUGUAUUGUUAGAUAACUAUAUCAAAAUUCAAAUCUAGAGACAGCUGCCAUUAAAUUGAGGUUUUGCAUAUUUUUGAGUUUCACUGUAGAAAGUACCAUGAAUCAAUAUAUUUUGUAGACUUUGUUCA